rnacentral:rRNA from 1 species
UACGUAGGGGCCUAGCGUUGUCCGGAAUUAUUGGGCGUAAAGAGCUCGUAGGCGGUUUGUCGCGUCUAUCGUGAAAACUGGAGGCUUAACUUUCAGCGUGCGGUGGAUACGGGCAGACUUGAGUUCGGUAGGGGAGACUGGAAUUCCUGGUGUAGCGGUGAAAUGCGCAGAUAUCAGGAGGAACACCGGUGGCGAAGGCGGGUCUCUGGGCAGAUACUGACGCUGAGGAGCGAAAGCGUGGGGAGCGAACAGG